GUUGGAGCUAAAGUCUGCAGGACACCGGCCCUCCAGGACUGAGAUUGGGCACCCCUGUUCUAUUGUGUUCCACAGAUGAAAUAUUGGUUUGGAUCAAAGUUUUUGUGUGUGGUAAAAUCCCUGAGAGAAAAGCGUAAGUGACUGCCAAGGCAAGGCGACAGAUGAUACUGAAGAAAGGAGCUCCUACAGGUUUAGAACAACUUGAGGGAACAUAUGAAUCAGCAAAUGAGGAACAAAAAACCUGGAGUGGAGUAAUUUCAGAACACUUGGCUGGAAUAUAUUCUAUUUCCGUCUAUGUGUUGCUUAGGGCCACACAAAGACUGAUGGUUUGGCUUGUUUUAGAACAUCUUUUUUUGUGUACAAUGUACAAACUAACUGGCCAAUUUGUCUGAAAGUUUUUUGAACUUCUUGCCUAUAAAACUGCUGUGUAAACAAGCAAGAGUUUGCUUCACGUUGGACUGAUAACAAUGCAAUCUUUUAAAAACAGGCCCUGACUGGCAGACAAACCAUGUCAUUUUUUGGUGGUACCUCAGGCUGCAUGCACCACUUGCACAAACGUGGGGCGGCUUUUUUAUGCAAAGAGAAGCACAGACAUUAUAUUGAUGUGUAAAACUUAACAAAAGUCUUGUUUUUUUUUCUCCUCCUUUGUGUUUUCAUACUUCAUCAUGAUGAUAGAAGAUUUCAGACUGUUGUGAAACCUGGCUGAGAAUUGAUUUACAGAGGAGUCGAUUCUCGCGAGGUCCCUCAUCCUCCCCACCCUCUCUUACUCUUUCUCUAUCUUUCUCCUUUCUUUUCUCCUGCUGCCUUUCUCUCUUGCUUUUUUCUUUCUCAUUGACUUUCUCAUUGCUGUUCUUCCAGUACAGCAUGACAGGUGUUGACGGGUUUUCUGGUCUAACUAAAACCUGCUGGUGGAUGCAAUCAAUAAUCAUACCUCUACUUCAUUCCUCAUGUUCAACUUUGUUAUAGACGUACAAUAAAAACAAUAAAUCAAAAUGGAGAAACUUAAUCGGUUCUGUGCAAUUGUGCAAAAACAAAUAGCUAACAACAAA